rnacentral:rRNA from 1 species
UACGUAGGGUGCAAGCGUUGUCCGGAAUUAUUGGGCGUAAAGAGCUCGUAGGCGGCUUGUCACGUCUGCUGUGAAAACUCGGGGCUCAACCCCGAGCCUGCAGUGGAUACGGGCUAGCUAGAGUGCGGUAGGGGAGACUGGAAUUCCUGGUGUAGCGGUGAAAUGCGCAGAUAUCAGGAGGAACACCGGUGGCGAAGGCGGGUCUCUGGGCCGAUACUGACGCUGGGGAGCGAAAGCGUGGGGAGCGAACAGG